GGGGGAGGGAGGAAGAGGAGCUGCAAAGAGUGGUGCUGCAGCAAAGGAAGCCCAAUAGAGAGUCUACUAGUCCACUCCAGUGCCCGGUGCCCAUGAGGAAUGGAGGAAGCACCUCAGGAUCCUCGGUUGGGUUUGCUGCCUUGAGGGGCUUUGCGCCAUCUGCCGCUGCUAAACCAAUAACAGGAUUCCAGUAACCAAAGGCCCUUACCCAAUGCAGAACCUUGAGGAUGUCAUCUGAAAAAAAGGAAGAUAUUUGGACUCCUGCCAUGUCUCUGCCUUUGUGGUUGGUCACAUCUCACGCCCAUGAGGAACAUUUCUGUACACAUCGAUUUACAUGUCCUACUAUUCAAGUCCUUACUCAUCCACAUAUCCUGUUUCCUUUCUCUUCUUCUGUCUGUAAGUCACUUGAGUGCCUCCUAAACCUAAACUGUAAAAUCUUUAAGAGCAGGAAUUGUGUCUUCUCUAAUUCUGUUGUACUUUCUCAAGCUCGUAAUACAGUG